rnacentral:rRNA from 1 species
UACAGAGGUCUCAAGCGUUGUUCGGAUUCAUUGGGCGUAAAGGGUGCGUAGGUGGCGCCGUAAGUCGGGUGUGAAAUUUCGGAGCUUAACUCCGAAACUGCAUUCGAUACUGCGGUGCUUGAGGACUGGAGAGGAGACUGGAAUUCAUGGUGUAGCAGUGAAAUGCGCAGAUAUCAGGAGGAACACCGGUGGCGAAGGCGGAUCUCUGGGCCUUACCUGACGCUGAGGCGCGAAAGCUAGGGGAGCGAACAGG